UACGUAGGGCGCAAGCGUUGUCCGGAAUUAUUGGGCGUAAAGAGCUCGUAGGCGGUCUGUUGCGUCCGCUGUGAAAACCCAGGGCUUAACCCUGGGCUUGCAGUGGAUACGGGCAGACUAGAGGCAGGUAGGGGAGAAUGGAAUUCCCGGUGUAGCGGUGAAAUGCGCAGAUAUCGGGAGGAACACCGGUGGCGAAGGCGGGUCUCUGGGCCGUUACUGACGCUGAGGAGCGAAAGCGUGGGGAGCGAACAGG
rnacentral:rRNA from 1 species